GAUGAAGAACGUAGCGAAAUGCGAUAAGUAAUGUGAAUUGCAGAGUUCAGUGAAUCAUCGAAUCUUUGAACGCACAUUGCGCCCGUCAGUAUUCUGACGGGCAUGCCUGUCCGAGCGUCAUUUCAACCCUCAAGCACUGCUUGGCGUUGGCGGAUUGCGUGCCCUCGCGGCGCUGCAACCGCCCAAAUACAGUGGCGGUCCCGCUGCGGCUCCCAUUGCGUAGUAACUCACCUCGCACUGGACCGGGCGGCGGCCUGCCGUAAAACCCCAACUCACGAAAUGUUGACCUCGGAUCAGGUAGGAAUACCCGCUGAACUUAAGCAUAUCAAUAAGCGGAGGA
rnacentral:misc_RNA from 1 species